GACGAACGCUGGCGGCGUGCCUAAUACAUGCAAGUCGAACGAACCGCGACUGAGUGCUUGCACUUGGUCAAGGUGAGUGGCGAACGGGUGAGUAACACGUGGGUAACCUACCUCAUAGUGGGGGAUAACAGUCGGAAACGACUGCUAAUACCGCAUAGGACAUAGGAUCACAUGAUCCAGUGAGGAAAGGUGGCGCAAGCUAUCGCUAAGAGAUGGACCCGCGGUGCAUUAGCUAGUUGGUAGGGUAAGGGCCUACCAAGGCGAUGAUGCAUAGCCGACCUGAGAGGGUGAUAGGCCACAUUGGGACUGAGACACGGCCCAAACUCCUACGGGAGGCAGCAGUAGGGAAUCUUCCGCAAUGGACGCAAGUCUGACGGAGCAACGCCGCGUGAGUGAAGAAGGUCUUCGGAUCGUAAAGCUCUGUUGUUAGAGAAGAACAGCGCAUAGAGUAACUGCUAUGCGUGUGACGGUAUCUAACCAGAAAGCCACGGCUAACUACGUG
rnacentral:rRNA from 1 species